rnacentral:rRNA from 1 species
GACGAACGCUGGCGGCGUGCUUAACACAUGCAAGUCGAACGGUGAAGCUCCAGCUUGCUGGAGUGGAUCAGUGGCGAACGGGUGAGUAACACGUGAGCAACCUGCCCCUGACUCUGGAAUAAGCGCUGGAAACGGCGUCUAAUACUGGAUACGAGAAGGGUCCGCAUGGGCACUUUCUGGAAAGUUUUUCGGUUGGGGAUGGGCUCGCGGCCUAUCAGCUUGUUGGUGAGGUAAUGGCUCACCAAGGCGACGACGGGUAGCCGGCCUGAGAGGGCGACCGGCCACACUGGGACUGAGACACGGCCCAGACUCCUACGGGAGGCAGCAGUGGGGAAUAUUGCACAAUGGGCGAAAGCCUGAUGCAGCGACGCCGCGUGAGGGAGGACGGCCUUCGGGUUGUAAACCUCUUUCAGCAGGGAAGAAGCGAAAGUGACGGUACCUGCAGAAGAAGCACCGGCUAACUACGU